AAGUCGUAACAAGGUUUCCGUAGGUGAACCUGCGGAAGGAUCAUUAAAAAAUGUUGGAUUAUACACAGUGCAAGAGAAGACACAUUUAUAUUAGUUGAUUUAAUUAUAUAAACAACUUUUAGCAACGGAUCUCUUGGCUCUC
rnacentral:misc_RNA from 1 species